GCGCGCGCGCUCCCCUGCCCCGGGGCCAACUCCCCCCAUGCAGGAAAGCCUUGCGUGCGCCUGCCCAGGGGGCUGACCCCGCGGGUGCUUAUCCCGGCGCCAACCCCCUCCUCAUGCUGGGAAGCCCUGGGGCCAAACCCCCGCGCACCGGAAGCAGACACUACCUCCGUCUUCUCUGGAGCUCAAAGGGAGCCUGUCAGCCCACAAAUUGACUGUUGCUGCUUUCAAACCGGGCUGCUUCCUUAUUGGGGCUAAUUAGAAGCCUCUGGUGUGUUUCAACCCAUGUGGAAAUGAAAGAGAAAAACUCUGUGCAGUCAGCUGAUGUAAUUAUUGGUGCAAAUGAAAACAUUCAGGAGAGCGAAAACAUAAGAAUGAACAAUCUCGCAUUCCAUCAAAAGAAGAUCUUUCUCCGAGAGGAAAUUCAACUGAGAGAACAUUUACUCAGAUGGACUGAGCCCAAUUAACUGGAUCCAACUUUUCUGAAUUCUGAAGGCAUUCACCUGUAGCACUGGAUCAGAACAUCCUGGCUUGGACAUGUGUCUGUGGUGGGAACAGAAGCCAGCUUGCUGUGUACUUCCUUGGCUCCAGCAUUUGUCCGCCUGGUGCAAAUACACAAGUGAAAAUGGACAAGGGACGAUAUAUUCAAGGAGCGAGCUGCAGGCAAGGCAACAGUAGAGCAUCUCUGCCUCCCUGAUGACAGUUAUGGAGUGCUUGACUGCAUGCCUAAAUAUGGCCUUCUCCCAGAACCCUGUCUGCCUGGAUCAAAAUACCUGUUCUUUCUCCUCCAGCUGCAUUGCUUUCACCCCUGAAGUGCUGAGGCCCCAGGACCCCGGGGUGGUGGUGGGGUGAACUCAGGGGCAGCCUUAUCCUCUAGGACCUCGGGAUACAAAAGGUUGUCCUUCACGUGUUUCUGAGACUCCCUCCCCACUUUGAAUUCCCAUUUACUUCACUGCUGUUUUCCCUAAA